rnacentral:lncRNA from 1 species
AUGCUGAGUUUUGGGCAACAGCCUGAGAGCCUCUACGAUGUCAUGUUUCGUGUACUUCAGCAGCUGUCUCCGCAAGUCUGUAGAAAAGAGCAGUGGGGAACUUCAGCACGCUGUCACAUCCCGAGCUUUGGCUCCUGUGACUGUCCCCACCUACCCCCACAAGGGCCCUUACUCUGUUCACUCUUCCCCCUCACACACUUACAGGGUUCUUUGAGCUGCUUCAGAUUCCUGCUAUACUUGAGGAUUUUGUUACCUUCGGAGGAUCGACGGCAAUGGCAACCGGUGGGAAUAACUCCUGGCCAUCCUGGAGAACGAAAAGGGGAGUCAGCAGUGCGGAUCACACCGCUGGCACUGGAUGACCAAAGCGAUGAACAGGCCCAAAGGUGAGGAGAUCGGGUAGGAAAUGGCCCUGGAAAUUCCGUGGGCGAGGUUACAGUGGGCACUUAUGUCAUGGGGUCCCGGAAAGCUCUACUAAUGAGACGCAGCCUUUGUGUGCAUACGUGUCUCUCUGUGUGCUUGUACACGUGCUUUCCAGGGAGAAUAUUCACCAUUUCCUCAAAAGUCCACAUCCUCUGAAAUGGAUGAGGCACCGAUGCAAAGGCAUAACCUAGCCAGGACCCCAAGUGUUUGUGGGCAGGUGUGGAGGUCAUGUAUGAGAAAAAGAGGAGAGCAUGACAAAGGCAGGUACUUACCAGGCGGACCAACUUGGGGAAGUAAUUCUGGACGGCGCUAUCCAAAACCAAAACCAACAAUCAAACAGAGUGAUUUUUCAGUGCAGGGCUGCUCAGAUUCUCUCCUUCUGACUCUGCCUCUUGCUCUGCUCCCUCUCCACCCCCCUGGGUAGGUCCCACCUACACUGCCCUGAUCCCCUUCCGUGGGACCAGAAGUUGCCCUGGGAGCCCAGGCUCCAGGGCUUGCUUUUCUCCCUGUCUCCCUUACCUUCCUCCUAGUCCCCACAGAAGGCUCUGCAGGGAGCAGGGAAUGCGGUGGUGGCCCAAGGCUCUGCUGCCAUGCUGGAUGUCCAGCAGGAAAGCAGGGGAAUGGCCAUGGAAAGGAGGUGAAGGCAGGGGAGGAAGGGCCGGAUGGGGAAACAAAGGAGACUACAGAUGCAGGAGAAAGAGGAAGCAAACCCUGGGGAAGUGGAAGAUGCUCUAUUCUGGUAUUGGGGAUCAGGGAAAAGAGAGAAGCCAGUGGUCCCUUGCUGCAGCCUUUCCUCUACCUGGCCCCGGCUGGCCCUGGGGCCUGAGGAAGAAAUGAGAUCAUGCAGCUGCUGGGCUGGGACCCACUGGGUGCAGACUGGGCCUUUAUGAGUCCAGUCUGAGCCAGACAUGGGGAGCCAGGGUUGGGGGAGCAGGGGCAUAGGGGGAGCAGGGGGGUAGGGGGAGCAGGAGGUCUUUCCCCAGAACCAGAGCGAGUGAAGGGUCAGGCUGCUCAGCUCAGCAUGGUUCAGAGGAUCUGUGCCUUGCCCGAGGCACCACACUUGUCUGAAGCUAUGGAGGGCUCCUCUGAGGGACCAGAUAGGAAGAUGUGAUGUAGCAGAAGAAGGGAAGUGCAGUACACCCCGAGAGGCCUGUUCUUCUGCCUCUUCCACCUCCUCUGUCCGCUUCCUUCCCUUCCCGCCCCCAGAAGCCCUCUGUCCACUGCUCGCUACUGGUGGCCCACUGCUGGCUCACUGAUGCAGGGAACCCAGAUUUCUCCACAAGGAGGGCACAGCUCUCAGCAAUGGCUUAGAGGAGUGGGUACCAUGUCGGCAGCCACCAAGGGCCUCAGUCCUCAGCAUGGGGCAGGAGAACGUCUAUGGAACCCUGGGCCAGGUUGGGGGACCUUUUAGGAGCAAGGGAAGGAGGGUCCCUCUCAGGCCAAGGGAGGCAAACCAGUACCGUCUUGGGGGAGGUACGGGAGGACAUGCUGGAGGGGGAGGAGGCUGGGUGCAGAGCAGUGGAAAACACAUCCCACACUAGGUCAGAAAGACAGACUUGUGAACACAGCCACAGGACGCAGAUGGCGAGGGCGGGGUGGGGGGCCGUGCACCCAGAGGACCAGGGCUGCCUCCUCAUGCACACAGGCACAUGAGGGGCAGCUCAGGCU